CGUACGCACAGCUGGGUAGCCAAGUUUGGAAGGGAUAAACGCUGAAAGCAUCUAAGCGUGAAACCCACCUCAAGAUAAGAUUUCCCAUCUGGCACUCAACUAUACUUACUGAAGGAAAAAAGCACUAUGUACAAAUGUUAGGGAAUGAAAUAAAAUAGAUUACAGUAGGUAGAGUUGAGUGCCAGAGUAAGACACCUUGGAGAAGACGAGGUAGAUAGGCCGGAGGUGUAAGAGUAGAAAUACUUUAAGCUGACCGGUACUAAUAAGUCGAGGACUUGACCAAA
rnacentral:rRNA from 1 species